rnacentral:rRNA from 1 species
GAUGAACGCUAGCGGCAGGCCUAAUACAUGCAAGUCGUACGGCAACACAGUUGCGAGCAAUCGCAACCGGUGGCGAGUGGCGCACGGGUGAGUAACGCGUAUGUAACCUACCCUUCUCCGGGACAUAACUCCGCGAAAGCGGUGCUAAUAUCCCAUACCAACUCAUCAAGACAUCUUCUUGGGUUGAAAGCAGCAAUGCGGUGAAGGAUGGGCAUGCGUCCCAUUAGCUGGUUGGUGAGGUAAUGGCCCACCAAGGCUACGAUGGGUAGGGGUUCUGAGAGGAAAGCCCCCCACACUGGUACUGAGACACGGACCAGACUCCUACGGGAGGCAGCAGUAAGGAAUAUUGGGCAAUGGUCGAAAGACUGACCCAGCCAUGCCGCGUGCAGGAUGAAGGCCCUAUGGGUUGUAAACUGCUUUUAGCCGGGAAUAAACACCCGUUUUAUAACGGGCCCGAAGGUACCGGCUGAAUAAGCAUCGGCUAACUCCGUG